rnacentral:rRNA from 1 species
GACGAACGCUGGCGGCGUGCUUAACACAUGCAAGUCGAACGGAAAGGCCCUGCUUUUGUGGGGUGCUCGAGUGGCGAACGGGUGAGUAACACGUGAGUAACCUGCCCUUGACUUUGGGAUAACUUCAGGAAACUGGGGCUAAUACCGGAUAGGAGCUCCUGCUGCAUGGCGGGGGUUGGAAGGUUUCGGCGGUUGGGGAUGGACUCGCGGCUUAUCAGCUUGUUGGUGGGGUAGUGGCUUACCAAGGCUUUGACGGGUAGCCGGCCUGAGAGGGUGACCGGCCACAUUGGGACUGAGAUACGGCCCAGACUCCUACGGGAGGCAGCAGUGGGGAAUAUUGCACAAUGGGCGGAAGCCUGAUGCAGCAACGCCGCGUGCGGGAUGACGGCCUUCGGGUUGUAAACCGCUUUCGCCUGUGACGAAGCGUGAGUGACGGUAAUGGGUAAAGAAGCACCGGCUAACUACGUG